rnacentral:rRNA from 1 species
GAUUAAGUUAUUAAGGGCGCACGGUGGAUGCCUUGGCACUAGAAGCCGAUGAAGGACGUUACUAACGACGAUAUGCUUUGGGGAGCUGUAAGUAAGCUUUGAUCCAGAGAUUUCCGAAUGGGGAAACCCAGCAUGAGUUAUGUCAUGUUAUCGAUAUGUGAAUACAUAGCAUAUCAGAAGGCACACCCGGAGAACUGAAACAUCUUAGUACCCGGAGGAAGAGAAAGAAAAUUCGAUUCCCUUAGUAGCGGCGAGCGAAACGGGAAGAGCCCAAACCAACAAGCUUGCUUGUUGGGGUUGUAGGACACUCUAUACGGAGUUACAAAGGACGACAUUAGACGAAUCAUCUGGAAAGAUGAAUCAAAGAAGGUAAUAAUCCUGUAGUCGAAAAUGUUGUCUCUCUUGAGUGGAUCCUGAGUACGACGGAGCACGUGAAAUUCCGUCGGAAUCUGGGAGGACCAUCUCCUAAGGCUAAAUACUCUCUAGUGACCGAUAGUGAACCAGUACCGUGAGGGAAAGGUGAAAAGCACCCCGGAAGGGGAGUGAAAUAGAACCUGAAACCGUGUGCUUACAAGUAGUCAGAGCCCGUUAAUGGGUGAUGGCGUGCCUUUUGUAGAAUGAACCGGCGAGUUACGAUUUGAUGCAAGGUUAAGCAGUAAAUGUGGAGCCGUAGCGAAAGCGAGUCUGAAUAGGGCGUUUAGUAUUUGGUCGUAGACCCGAAACCGGGUGAUCUACCCUUGGUCAGGUUGAAGUUCAGGUAACACUGAAUGGAGGACCGAACCGACUUACGUUGAAAAGUGAGCGGAUGAACUGAGGGUAGCGGAGAAAUUCCAAUCGAACCUGGAGAUAGCUGGUUCUCUCCGAAAUAGCUUUAGGGCUAGCCUCAAGUGAUGAUUAUUGGAGGUAGAGCACUGUUUGGACGAGGGGCCCCUCUCGGGUUACCGAAUUCAGACAAACUCCGAAUGCCAAUUAAUUUAACUUGGGAGUCAGAACAUGGGUGAUAAGGUCCGUGUUCGAAAGGGAAACAGCCCAGACCACCAGCUAAGGUCCCAAAAUAUAUGUUAAGUGGAAAAGGAUGUGGCGUUGCCCAGACAACUAGGAUGUUGGCUUAGAAGCAGCCAUCAUUUAAAGAGUGCGUAAUAGCUCACUAGUCGAGUGACACUGCGCCGAAAAUGUACCGGGGCUAAACAUAUUACCGAAGCUGUGGAUUGUCCUUUGGACAAUGGUAGGAGAGCGUUCUAAGGGCGUUGAAGCAUGAUCGUAAGGACAUGUGGAGCGCUUAGAAGUGAGAAUGCCGGUGUGAGUAGCGAAAGACGGGUGAGAAUCCCGUCCACCGAUUGACUAAGGUUUCCAGAGGAAGGCUCGUCCGCUCUGGGUUAGUCGGGUCCUAAGCUGAGGCCGACAGGCGUAGGCGAUGGAUAACAGGUUGAUAUUCCUGUACCACCUAUAAUCGUUUUAAUCGAUGGGGGGACGCAGUAGGAUAGGCGAAGCGUGCGAUUGGAUUGCACGUCUAAGCAGUAAGGCUGAGUAUUAGGCAAAUCCGGUACUCGUUAAGGCUGAGCUGUGAUGGGGAGAAGACAUUGUGUCUUCGAGUCGUUGAUUUCACACUGCCGAGAAAAGCCUCUAGAUAGAAAAUAGGUGCCCGUACCGCAAACCGACACAGGUAGUCAAGAUGAGAAUUCUAAGGUGAGCGAGCGAACUCUCGUUAAGGAACUCGGCAAAAUGACCCCGUAACUUCGGGAGAAGGGGUGCUCUUUAGGGUUAACGCCCAGAAGAGCCGCAGUGAAUAGGCCCAAGCGACUGUUUAUCAAAAACACAGGUCUCUGCUAAACCGUAAGGUGAUGUAUAGGGGCUGACGCCUGCCCGGUGCUGGAAGGUUAAGAGGAGUGGUUAGCUUCUGCGAAGCUACGAAUCGAAGCCCCAGUAAACGGCGGCCGUAACUAUAACGGUCCUAAGGUAGCGAAAUUCCUUGUCGGGUAAGUUCCGACCCGCACGAAAGGCGUAACGAUUUGGGCACUGUCUCAACGAGAGACUCGGUGAAAUCAUAGUACCUGUGAAGAUGCAGGUUACCCGCGACAGGACGGAAAGACCCCGUGGAGCUUUACUGUAGCCUGAUAUUGAAAUUCGGCACAGCUUGUACAGGAUAGGUAGGAGCCUUUGAAACGUGAGCGCUAGCUUACGUGGAGGCGCUGGUGGGAUACUACCCUAGCUGUGUUGGCUUUCUAACCCGCACCACUUAUCGUGGUGGGAGACAGUGUCAGGCGGGCAGUUUGACUGGGGCGGUCGCCUCCUAAAAGGUAACGGAGGCGCUCAAAGGUUCCCUCAGAAUGGUUGGAAAUCAUUCAUAGAGUGUAAAGGCAUAAGGGAGCUUGACUGCGAGACCUACAAGUCGAGCAGGGUCGAAAGACGGACUUAGUGAUCCGGUGGUUCCGCAUGGAAGGGCCAUCGCUCAACGGAUAAAAGCUACCCCGGGGAUAACAGGCUUAUCUCCCCCAAGAGUUCACAUCGACGGGGAGGUUUGGCACCUCGAUGUCGGCUCAUCGCAUCCUGGGGCUGUAGUCGGUCCCAAGGGUUGGGCUGUUCGCCCAUUAAAGCGGUACGCGAGCUGGGUUCAGAACGUCGUGAGACAGUUCGGUCCCUAUCCGUCGUGGGCGUAGGAAAUUUGAGAGGAGCUGUCCUUAGUACGAGAGGACCGGGAUGGACAUACCUCUGGUGUACCAGUUGUCGUGCCAACGGCAUAGCUGGGUAGCUAUGUGUGGACGGGAUAAGUGCUGAAAGCAUCUAAGCAUGAAGCCCCCCUCAAGAUGAGAUUUCCCAACUUCGGUUAUAAGAUCCCUCAAAGAUGAUGAGGUUAAUAGGUUCGAGGUGGAAGCAUGGUGACAUGUGGAGCUGACGAAUACUAAUCGAUCGAAGACUUAAUCAA